UGAAAACCAGGAGGCCUUCCGGUAUCCACUGAAGAACGCGGAACUCCAAGUGAUAACAGCGGUUGGAAAUGAACAAUCGAAAUACCCAAAUUCAUCUGAAAUGACAGGCCAUGCCAGCACAGGCUCAGGAAAGAGACACAAUGCCUCCGUCGCAGCAGUACUGCGACUGAGUGAGUGAGUGUGGGGGGCACGGCGGAGGCAAGGCCGGGGCUUUGGAAUAGAGACUGAUCCGAGCAGGCUGUGAGAGCCGGGCUGUGUGACGUUACAAGCCGGGCCGGUGAGGCCGGGCAGGCUGCCGGGGGGACAGAGCGUGACUCCGGGAACACAGAGACAAAUAUCAGCCCCGGACUGGAGCUUUGA